rnacentral:sRNA from 1 species
UAUGAAAUAGUUACAUGAUGUGCAACC